GGUUGUGGCUCAGUGGCAGAGUGCUUGACUCACACGUGUGAGGCACUGGGUUCGAUCCUCAGCACCA
rnacentral:tRNA from 1 species